rnacentral:rRNA from 1 species
AUUGAACGCUGGCGGCAUGCCCUACACAUGCAAGUCGAACGGUAACAGGUCUUCGGAUGCUGACGAGUGGCGAACGGGUGAGUAAUACAUCGGAACGUGCCCGACCGUGGGGGAUAACGAGGCGAAAGCUUUGCUAAUACCGCAUACGAUCUACGGAUGAAAGCGGGGGAUCUUCGGACCUCGCGCGGACGGAGCGGCCGAUGGCAGAUUAGGUAGUUGGUGGGAUAAAAGCUUACCAAGCCGACGAUCUGUAGCUGGUCUGAGAGGAUGAUCAGCCACACUGGGACUGAGACACGGCCAAGACUCCUACGGGAGGCAGCAGUGGGGAAUUGUGGACAAUGGGCGAAAGCCUGAUCCAGCCAUGCCGCGUGCAGGAUGAAGGCCUUCGGGUUGUAAACUGCUUUUGUACGGAACGAAAAGCCUCUUUCUAAUAAAGAGGGGUCAUGACGGUACCGUAAGAAUAAGCACCGGCUAACUACGUG